CGAAAAUAGCUGAAGAGUCUAUAGUGAAGUACCAACAGCGGAUUAAUGGUUACGAAAAUUUAAAAAAAGAAAAAGAUCAUUUCGAAGAACUUUACGUGAGAAUUAAUGCCAAAUACGAAGUGCUGGAACAACUUUUGACUUUUAAUGAAAAUAUUCAGGAGCCGAAUUUAUUGAACAAAGUGUUGUUUAAUCAGUGGAAAUCCAGUAGAUCCCACUACGAGACACAAAUUCAAAAAACCAACGAAAUACUCGAUAAAUUAACCAAUUG